UCCUAAUUAAUUCUACAAGCCAUGGGGCAAGUAGCAGCUUGAUGUUAUUGUUUUUGGUAAAAAAAUCCCCUAUUGUUUCACUGCUGGCCUAUGUUGAAGUUUGUUAUAGCUUGUUGUUGAUUUGAUCCAUGUGCUGAAAGCAGUUGAUCUUAUCUUUCAUAUGUAGAUGCAAUAUUUCUUUUCGUGUAUGGGAAAAAGCAAUAACUAGAACUGACAUAUCUCUCUCAUGAGGUGUGCUUGUGUUAUGUCCAAGCAGCACCAUCCCCUUUUAGAUGUUCAGUUUACUGUACGAGUCAAUAUGGCUUUGAUUUUUAAAUCAGCUUCAAAGGUUGCUUUCACAAUCCUUUGAUGUUCAGUUUACUGCACGAGUCACCGAGGGAUUGCUGUUAAUUUGCCCCACGGUUCUGUUGCUAGAAGGGAAGAGUAAUAUGCAUAUGGGCAGUUGUUGAAUCGAGAUCCAAUCCAACGACAAGGAGAGUUGACACAGCAGCGAAGCCCAACCCCCGAGAAAAUAAGAUGUGAGCAAGAACAGAAGAGAGAUGUAGUGCUUUUGUACUAAUGUUGGUUUGCAUCUGUACUGACUAGAAAAUGAGAGAGAGAGAGAGAGAUUUGGUACUGAUAUUGGGUGAGAGAGUAUAGAAUUCAGGUCUGGGUUAUUAACUAGAGUGAACAGAAUAACAACAGAAGUUUGGUAUACAACUACAGUACAUUAUAACAGACAAGUUUUUGAAUCUAUCAAGCAUCAAGGUAAGCUUUCAUGAUCACAGAAAUGUAGGUGUUUGUAUUAGCGCAAUGCUUUAAUCAGUAGGGUCUUUCCCAUCUAUGAUCAAGGUUGAUUGCGUCAGCUCUGUUGUGGCGUUCAUGUAUAUGACAAUGGAAUGAUGUGAAAUUAUGGUAUCGAGGCUUAUUUUUGAAGCAUGCCUAGGGUUUUGUUCCUGUUUGUGUUGAUCUGAACAUGUGCUCUGUUCAUGUAGAAGAACUCAUAUGAAUCUGCCUUAGGGCAAUAAUUGAGAACAUGUGAUCAGUAUGUUAGCCAAAACUGAACAUUUGAUCUCUAUUGAACUGAAAGGAUUGUAUAUUUGAUCUCUGUUUAACUGAAAAGAUUGAACCUUUACUUUUGAUCUCUGUUUAAGUUUAAAAAUUCAGCUGUUUCACAAACUUUCUAUAGUUCAGAAACUGAAUCUUUAGAUGUACUCUGUUUUAGUGCAGAAAAUGAAUUUUAGUGCACAAACUGAAUUAGUACAGAAACUGAAAAGACUGAACCUUUACUUUUGAUCUCAGUUUAAGUUUAAAAAUUCAGCUGUUCCACAUGUUGGAUAAUUCUAUAUUUUCUAGAAAGAAUAAAAAGAUUUUAUGGAUCUCUACAUUGUAAUGGAUUUUAUUGUGCUGCUAUUCUUCAGUUGCAUUGCACCCCCGCAUCCAGAAUUCCAAGUUGGUUCAGUUUAGACUUUGCAGAUCAUCAAAAAUAGGUUUCUUUUGCUGAUAAUUUUUCUUUACUGAGAACCAAAAACUACACCUGGACCAUCGUUUACUAAGACUGGAUCUCAUCAUGGCUAUAUUACAACUCGGUAGUGUCUCAUUCUAACUGGCAUGUUAUUAUUUUACCAUGCUAAUGCAGGCGAUCUGAAGCAAGGAAAUGCUCAUGCCUAUAGACCCAAGUGGCACUAUUAUCAUGUAGGUGGAGGUGUUCCUCUGCUCGCCAACUGCAGGAGGCGAGCGAAGCUACAACGGAGCGGCAGAUUAGGGACUUGGGUCGCUAACCAACAAAUCAACUCAAUGGCAUUCUUCUCACUUACCGGUCAAAUCCUGAACCUGGAUUCUGCUAUUCUACUUCAUAUUCUAUUGAUUUGGUAGGCUACAUCUACGUGGAUGCACCAGCUCUGCUCCAUAGAUAUGGAUACAAAGUGUUUCGUGGUAAUGUUCUUUGAUAAUUUUGUGUUGCCAUUGUUCCCGGUCAGAAUAUUUUAGAAUUUAUUAAUGGUCAAUACUUAUCCAUCAAACUACAAAUUCUUUCUCAAGUGUUGCAGUUUAUAUGCUGAAACUAACUGACAUCUACCUGGAUUUGGAUAUCUGUAAUCUUAAAUGAUACAGAUUCCAAUAAUAAAUUAUUUAUCUACAGACUCCCCAACUGGAAUUAGCAUUUGUUGUUGCAUAAAUUUAACUCUACAGGAAGCACAUGAAUUAUACCAAUGAAGAACUUAGGAUAGAGGAAAUUAUAAUUUACUAAAGUUUUAAGGAAUUGCAUGUUGAUUUCUUCCUUCUUUUCCCUAGCGACCUCUCCUCCAUGGUGCUCGGCAGAGGCAGAACGGUCAGCCGCCGCACUACGCGAAAGAGUGUCCUCCUAGGCCGCAUCUGAGAGGAACCAGGACCUCGUGGUGAGGUGAGCCACAGCGGGAGUGCCCAUGCACAUGUGCCGGCGACCGCGGCUGCCCCGCCCCCGAGCACCACCCCACCCCCUCCGCGAGGGAGAGGCGUGGUGGCGUUAAGGAGAGCUCUACCACCGUGGUGUCGCCCGUUCCUCCGGUGCCACCGCUGCCCUCCGGACCGUCGUCCUCAUGUUCGCGUAUUCUCUCUCUCUCUCUAUAUAAUCCUCAUCAUAAUUUUCUCACUCCUGAUUCGGUUUUAUGUAGUCUGCCCGGCAAAUUAGCCAUCAAAUAUAAUACAUUACAUAGAUUUAAAACAUAUAUUUAGAAAUAUGUGCAGGUUUGGAUUUGAUAUGAACUGAAAUAACUAUAUUUGUCAUGGACUCCUGCCAUUAGUACAAAUGUCCUAUAACUAGCUCUGCUUUCAUUGCCAUGUAGUUUUACUAGCGUAAAUACUUGCUUUUGUUUAUGCUCUCCCCCCUUUCGGAACAAGCCAUCACCACUACAUCAUGAUUAUGGUGUGUAUAUAUAUAUGGAAAAUGUGUUUCUGUUUUUACAUUGAUAAAACAUGCGUUUAGUUGGACCGGCCAAGAAUAGUUCUCUGAUUAAUGCUAUAGUUUACUGUCAACUACUUCUACUGGUGGCUUACAUUUUUAUAGAUUGUGAGCCAUAUGGGAGGCCAUUCACUGGAUAAAUAUAAUGGACUGGAGUGGUGGAUUGAGUACCUUCCGAAACGGGUCUUACUCUCUGGUUUCUCCUUCCACAACAUGGUAUUGGAUGCAGCAUGUUGCUGUGUAAGGUACUGAUGGUCUCUGAGGUGAGCUCUUUAUGUGAUUCUAGUGGCGCUCUGUCUCCCUUUGCAUCUAUGGUGACAUUUUAGUGUAUAUGAAUUUGUGUUGAUUGACUGGAAGAAAAGGUUCUGUACGAUGAUUUAUAUAUGUCUCUGAAUUUCAUUAUAUUUCCGGUGUGCUCAUUUGUCCUGGAAGUUACCGUAGAUGCACCUCCACUCAUAGCAUGGCCACUAUGUGAAUUAGUUGAUUAGGAUUUUAUACAUUCCUUUUACCCUUUCUGUGGUAGCUUUAGUACCGCGUAGCUUAUCUAUUCAAUCGAUUAUCGAGCUGUAGGUUAUCCUUUUGCAUCGCAUGCCUAAAAGUGAAUAUCACCACAUAGCUGAUUUCCUGAUGUUAUGAGUUUUUUUUGCAUGCUGAAACUUGUUUUGUACCAAUAUAUCCCAGUGGGAGCACUUUGUGUCUAUGGUGGUGAAUGUUUUGUCGUGAUCAAAACUUCUUUUCUUGUUCCCAGUUUGAGAAAUAUUUUAUUCAGACAUUUUGGAUCAUGCUAAGAUACUUGAGACAGUUUUUUCUUAACUAAGAGCUCAUUACAAUUUUUUUGUCUCUGCAGCUGAUAUUUCAGUUAAUGUUUAGUUGAGCCUAGAGAAUAACAUAUUAACAUGGAGAUGUCUUUUACGUGGUGAUCCUCUAAACUUCCUAAUAGUUCAGUGGAGUAGGAAGGCUUGCAUGAGUUUGCAAAUCUUGAACACUUCUCAAACUAGACUGACCAUUAUAAUUUGCAGGACAAG